GUCUUUGUAGUGUAGUGGUUAUCAUGUCUGCCUUAUACGCAGGAGAUCCCUGGUUCAGUCCCAGGCAAAGACA
rnacentral:tRNA from 1 species